GGCCUUAAAAAUAUAUUUGAUUUAGUAUAAAUGAUAGAAAAUGGAUCAUCACCAAGCUAAUAACAUGUACUUUGACUCCCAAUCAAAAAAAGUGACUUCUGAUUUAAAACAUAGUAAUACUCUACUUACAACAGUCUCCUUAUAAUUCAUCUACUUAAAAAAUAAAAUAACUCUACAGUAACACUACCUGGAGGGGCCUCUAACACAAGCAGGGCUUUGUGUGUUGGAGAAAAGUGAUGUACUUUUUAAAA